rnacentral:rRNA from 1 species
AAGGAAUAUUGGGCAAUGGACGCAAGUCUGACCCAGCCAUGCCGCGUGCAGGAUGACGGCCCUAUGGGUUGUAAACUGCUUUUGUACGGGAAAAAACCCCCAGUCGUGUAUUGGGGCUGAUGGUACCGUAAGAAUAAGCAUCGGCUAACUCCGUGCCAGCAGCCGCGGUAAUACGGAGGAUGCAAGCGUUAUCCGGAUUCAUUGGGUUUAAAGGGUCCGCAGGCGGAACUGUAAGUCAGGGGUGAAAUCCUACGGCUCAACCGUAGAACUGCCCUUGAUACUGCUGUUCUAGAGUACAGUUGAGGUGGGCGGAAUGUGUCAUGUAGCGGUGAAAUGCAUAGAUAUGACACAGAACACCGAUCGCGAAGGCAGCUCACCAAGCUGUAACUGACGCUCAGGGACGAAAGCGUGGGGAUCAAAC